rnacentral:rRNA from 1 species
AACGAACGCUGGCGGCAGGCCUAACACAUGCAAGUCGAGCGAGGACUUCGGUCCUAGCGGCGGACGGGUGAGUAACGCGUGGGAACGUGCCCUUUGCUUCGGAAUAGCCCUGGGAAACUGGGAGUAAUACCGGAUGAGCCCUUUGGGGGAAAGAUUUAUCGGCGAAGGAUCGGCCCGCGUUGGAUUAGGUAGUUGGUGGGGUAAUGGCCUACCAAGCCGACGAUCCAUAGCUGGUUUGAGAGGAUGAUCAGCCACACUGGGACUGAGACACGGCCCAGACUCCUACGGGAGGCAGCAGUGGGGAAUCUUAGACAAUGGGGGAAACCCUGAUCUAGCCAUGCCGCGUGAGCGAUGAAGGCCUUAGGGUUGUAAAGCUCUUUCAACUGGGAAGAUAAUGACGGUACCAGCAGAAGAAGCCCCGGCUAACUCCGUG